rnacentral:rRNA from 1 species
UGAGGAAUAUUGAGCAAUGGGCGCAAGCCUGACUCAGCAACGCCGCGUGGAUGAAGAAGGCCUUCGGGUUGUAAAAUCCUUUUCUGAGGGACGAUAAUGACGGUACCUCAGGAAUAAGUUCCGGCUAACUACGUGCCAGCAGCCGCGGUAAAACGUAGGGGACAAGCGUUAUCCGGAUUUACUGGGCGUAAAGCGCCCGUAGGCGGCUUGACAAGUUGGAUGUGAAAGCUCCCGGCUUAACUGGGAGAGGUCAUUCAAAACUGUCAGGCUAGAGGAUGGAAGAGGAGAGCGGAAUUCCCGGUGUAGUGGUGGAAUGCGUAGAGAUCGGGAGGAACACCAGUGGCGAAAGCGGCUCUCUGGUUCACACCUGACGCUGAGGGGCGAAAGCGUGGGGAGCGAACGGGAUUAGAUACCCCGGUAGUCCACGCUGUAAACGAUGGAUACUAGGUGUAGGGGGUCAGUUAACCCCCUCUGUGCCGCAGCAAACGCGUUAAGUAUCCCGCCUGGGGAGUACGGCCG